rnacentral:rRNA from 1 species
GACGAACGCUGGCGGCGUGCUUAACACAUGCAAGUCGAACGGAAAGGCCCUGCUUUUGUGGGGUGCUCGAGUGGCGAACGGGUGAGUAACACGUGAGUAACCUGCCCUUGACUUUGGGAUAACUUCAGGAAACUGGGGCUAAUACCGGAUAGGAGCUCCUGCUGCAUGGUGGGGGGUGGGAAGGUUCGGCGGUUGGGGAUGGACUCGCGGCUUAUCAGCUUGUUGGUGGGGUAGUGGCUUACCAAGGCUUUGACGGGUAGCCGGCCUGAGAGGGUGACCGGCCACAUUGGGACUGAGAUACGGCCCAGACUCCUACGGGAGGCAGCAGUGGGGAAUAUUGCACAAUGGGCGGAAGCCUGAUGCAGCAACGCCGCGUGCGGGAUGACGGCCUUCGGGUUGUAAACCGCUUUCGCCUGUGACGAAGCGUGAGUGACGGUAAUGGGUAAAGAAGCACCGGCUAACUACGUG